GUGAACGCUGGCGGCGUGCUUAACACAUGCAAGUCGAACGGUAACAGGAAGUAGCUUGCUACUUUGCUGACGAGUGGCGCACGGGUGAGUAUACCAUAGAUAAUGUACCUCUUAGUUCGGGAUAGCCACUGGAAACGGUGAUUAAUACCGGAUACUCCUUCUUACUCUAAGGUAAGUCGGGAAAGUUUUUUCGCUAAGAGAUCAGUCUAUGUCCUAUCAGCUAGUUGGUGAGGUAAUGGCUCACCAAGGCUAUGACGGGUAUCUGGUUUGAGAGGAUGAUCAGACACACUGGAACUGAGACACGGUCCAGACUCCUACGGGAGGCAGCAGUGAGGAAUAUUGCACAAUGGAGGAAACUCUGAUGCAGCAACGCCGCGUGGAGGAUGACGCAUUUCGGUGUGUAAACUCCUUUUAAGAGGGAAGAUAAUGACGGUACCUCUUGAAUAAGCACCGGCUAACUCCGU
rnacentral:rRNA from 1 species